rnacentral:rRNA from 1 species
GGUUAAGCGACUAAGCGUACACGGUGGAUGCCCUGGCAGUCAGAGGCGAUGAAGGGCGUGCUAAUCUGCGAUAAGCGCCGGUAAGGUGAUAUGAACCGUUAUAACCGGCGAUACCCGAAUGGGGAAACCCAGUGUGAUUCGUCACACUAUCAUUAACUGAAUCCAUAGGUUAAUGAGGCGAACCGGGGGAACUGAAACAUCUAAGUACCCCGAGGAAAAGAAAUCAACCGAGAUUCCCCCAGUAGCGGCGAGCGAACGGGGAGGAGCCCAGAGCCUGAAUCAGCAUGUGUGUUAGUGGAAGCGUCUGGAAAGGCGCGCGAUACAGGGUGACAGCCCCGUACACAAAAGCGCAUGUGCUGUGAGCUCGAUGAGUAGGGCGGGACACGUGGUAUCCUGUCUGAAUAUGGGGGGACCAUCCUCCAAGGCUAAAUACUCCUGACUGACCGAUAGUGAACCAGUACCGUGAGGGAAAGGCGAAAAGAACCCCGGCGAGGGGAGUGAAAAAGAACCUGAAACCGUGUACGUACAAGCAGUGGGAGCACAGGUUUACCUGUGUGACUGCGUACCUUUUGUAUAAUGGGUCAGCGACUUAUAUUCUGUAGCAAGGUUAACCGUAUAGGGGAGCCGUAGGGAAACCGAGUCUUAACCGGGCGUUAAGUUGCAGGGUAUAGACCCGAAACCCGGUGAUCUAGCCAUGGGCAGGUUGAAGGUUGGGUAACACUAACUGGAGGACCGAACCGACUAAUGUUGAAAAAUUAGCGGAUGACCUGUGGCUGGGGGUGAAAGGCCAAUCAAACCGGGAGAUAGCUGGUUCUCCCCGAAAGCUAUUUAGGUAGCGCCUCGUGAAUUCAUCUCCGGGGGUAGAGCACUGUUUCGGCUAGGGGGCCAUCCCGGCUUACCAACCCGAUGCAAACUGCGAAUACCGGAGAAUGUUAUCACGGGAGACACACGGCGGGUGCUAACGUCCGUCGUGAAGAGGGAAACAACCCAGACCGCCAGCUAAGGUCCCAAAGUCAUGGUUAAGUGGGAAACGAUGUGGGAAGGCCCAGACAGCCAGGAUGUUGGCUUAGAAGCAGCCAUCAUUUAAAGAAAGCGUAAUAGCUCACUGGUCGAGUCGGCCUGCGCGGAAGAUGUAACGGGGCUAAACCAUGCACCGAAGCUGCGGCAGCGACACUAUGUGUUGUUGGGUAGGGGAGCGUUCUGUAAGCCUGUGAAGGUGUGUCGUGAGGCAUGCUGGAGGUAUCAGAAGUGCGAAUGCUGACAUAAGUAACGAUAAAGCGGGUGAAAAGCCCGCUCGCCGGAAGACCAAGGGUUCCUGUCCAACGUUAAUCGGGGCAGGGUGAGUCGACCCCUAAGGCGAGGCCGAAAGGCGUAGUCGAUGGGAAACGGGUUAAUAUUCCCGUACUUGGUGUUACUGCGAAGGGGGGACGGAGAAGGCUAUGUUGGCCGGGCGACGGUUGUCCCGGUUUAAGCGUGUAGGUGUGUGUUCCAGGUAAAUCCGGUUCACUUUAACACUGAGGCGUGAUGACGAGGCACUACGGUGCUGAAGCAACAAAUGCCCUGCUUCCAGGAAAAGCCUCUAAGCAUCAGGUAACAUCAAAUCGUACCCCAAACCGACACAGGUGGUCAGGUAGAGAAUACCAAGGCGCUUGAGAGAACUCGGGUGAAGGAACUAGGCAAAAUGGUGCCGUAACUUCGGGAGAAGGCACGCUGACACGUAGGUGAAGUGAUUUACUCACGGAGCUGAAGUCAGUCGAAGAUACCAGCUGGCUGCAACUGUUUAUUAAAAACACAGCACUGUGCAAACACGAAAGUGGACGUAUACGGUGUGACGCCUGCCCGGUGCCGGAAGGUUAAUUGAUGGGGUCAGCGCAAGCGAAGCUCCUGAUCGAAGCCCCGGUAAACGGCGGCCGUAACUAUAACGGUCCUAAGGUAGCGAAAUUCCUUGUCGGGUAAGUUCCGACCUGCACGAAUGGCGUAAUGAUGGCCAGGCUGUCUCCACCCGAGACUCAGUGAAAUUGAACUCGCUGUGAAGAUGCAGUGUACCCGCGGCAAGACGGAAAGACCCCGUGAACCUUUACUAUAGCUUGACACUGAACAUUGAGCCUUGAUGUGUAGGAUAGGUGGGAGGCUUUGAAGUGUGGACGCCAGUCUGCAUGGAGCCGACCUUGAAAUACCACCCUUUAAUGUUUGAUGUUCUAACGUGGACCCGUAAUCCGGGUUGCGGACAGUGUCUGGUGGGUAGUUUGACUGGGGCGGUCUCCUCCUAAAGAGUAACGGAGGAGCACGAAGGUUGGCUAAUCCUGGUCGGACAUCAGGAGGUUAGUGCAAUGGCAUAAGCCAGCUUGACUGCGAGCGUGACGGCGCGAGCAGGUGCGAAAGCAGGUCAUAGUGAUCCGGUGGUUCUGAAUGGAAGGGCCAUCGCUCAACGGAUAAAAGGUACUCCGGGGAUAACAGGCUGAUACCGCCCAAGAGUUCAUAUCGACGGCGGUGUUUGGCACCUCGAUGUCGGCUCAUCACAUCCUGGGGCUGAAGUAGGUCCCAAGGGUAUGGCUGUUCGCCAUUUAAAGUGGUACGCGAGCUGGGUUUAGAACGUCGUGAGACAGUUCGGUCCCUAUCUGCCGUGGGCGCUGGAGAACUGAGGGGGGCUGCUCCUAGUACGAGAGGACCGGAGUGGACGCAUCACUGGUGUUCGGGUUGUCAUGCCAAUGGCACUGCCCGGUAGCUAAAUGCGGAAGAGAUAAGUGCUGAAAGCAUCUAAGCACGAAACUUGCCCCGAGAUGAGUUCUCCCUGAGACUUAGAGUCUCCUGAAGGAACGUUGAAGACGACGACGUUGAUAGGCCGGGUGUGUAAGCGCAGCGAUGCGUUGAGCUAACCGGUACUAAUGAACCGUGAGGCUUAACCUU